rnacentral:tRNA from 2 species
GCGACCGUGGUGGAAUGGUAGACACGCUAUCUUGAGGUGGUAGUGCUUUAGGGUGUACGAGUUCAAGUCUCGUCGGUCGCACCA